UGGGAAAUAGGUGACUAUGAUAAACGGGGCCUGGGAAGAGGGUGAAGCAGAAGAAAUAUCUUUCUGUCAGCAUUACAGUUAUUCAGUACCUCUGGCUAUGUCUACAUUGCAGUAUAAAACACUAGGGUUAUUUGGAGCCCAGUCAGCAGACCCAUGUGAGGGAACUCUGGACUUGAGCGUCUACAUUGCAUUUUAAUCCUAGGUUACAAAUUUUCUGUUCUGUGGUGGAAUCUAGGGCUUUAGGCAUCCAUGCUGUAGUGCACCCAGACCUGAGUCGAAGUAAACCUGGCCAGGAGUUGAUAGCAGCUGCCUCCCACUCCCCAUGUCAACUCUGUAGUCCUAGAAGUGUGGUCCUGUUGGGAUCCAGGAAGUGGGCGGGCAGAAGCUAAAGGAUCUCCCCACAGCUUAAGGGGAGGAUCUAUAGGUCCGGGAUUCCAAAUGUUUGUGGGGGACAGCUAAAGAUAUAACAGGAAUGGGAGUGAGGUCACUGGGCUAAACAAGGGGAACCUGUUGGGGACACCAAGCAGAAAACCCACCGCUCUUUUAAGGUGUCAAGGGAGCCAGCAGAUGCUGCCCAGAGGAACUCUGCCCCGAUGUGUGAAUGGAUUGAGCAGUGGAAAAUAGUAUAUCUAAAAGGAGCCAGAAUAGGGGCUGCAAUCUGACGCACGCCAGAUAUACAUGCACCAGCGUCUCCCUCAUGCGCAAAAGGGACAGGUGUCUGGGGCGGGUGUGAACUGCGCCAAGUACACGCCCAUAUGUUCAGUGACAGCAGAUGCAAUAUCUUUGCUCCGAGUUUGUCCUUUGAGUCUUCUUGAGGACCUUGAUCUUUAACGUAUCUGCCGAGUAAGGCAACCUGAGUGAUGUCAUCCACAUCGCAUGUCUCAUCGCAGGGAAUAGAAAAACCUGGUGCUGAUCAAAUGUCACUAACCUGUUGGCUGGAUGUUUUCAAACUGUUGGACACUGGAACAUAUUAGUAAAGACAGAGCACGUCCGCUUCCUUUCCCUGUAGCCUGACGCUUUCCACAGCUCCCAUUGGCCAGGAAUGUCAGCAAAAUGUCUCGUGGCCCGCAGUCAGAUUACCCUGAUGGGCACCGUGCACCCUGCGGGCCGCAGGUUGCCCACCACUGCUCUAUGCCUUAUAACAAUAGAACAACUAAACGUGAAAAUAUAUCAGUUAAACAUUUAAUACUAAAUACUUAAUACUAAGCAUCCAACAAGUGCUGAUCAGGCAAUUAUUAGAUGGGUAGGGGGAAGAUCUCACUCAGACCACAAACAUCCAACUUCAUUUACACUCGGCACCCAUACACUCUGGGAUGCUAAGAUAAAAGACUUACAGAAGCCUUCUUAAAAGUCCCUCUGAGUUGUCUUACAAGGGUCCUUCAGCUAUGUCAGUAGCUAGAGAUCGCCGUUCAUAGGGGGUGAAUCACAGAUGAUAGUGGCUGCGUUGGGUGGCCGCUUGCUCCUGCUGAGGUGAAGUUUCUCCUCAGAUGGCAGAUAUGGAAGCCCGAUUGGUAGCUGCUGUGGUGGCCUCCUGUUGGUGGAGUGGCAGAAAUGGCCGUUGUCAGGGCAAUCUCAGAACCUUAUGUGGACUGCUGCUGCUUCUGUAAGAGCUGCUUGAGAACAAUGCUCGUGAGCAUGUGCUGUGAAGCUGCUAUAGAAACUAGGGUAGAAGGGCCAUUAACUACUUAUAAAAGCCGUUGGUUGUGGCUUGUAAUGUUGCUGCCGUAAUAUCUGCCUUGAGAGUGAUGGCGGCUAGUGAGCAUUGUCAACGCUGUGAGUGAGUGCUGUCGAUGCUCAUGAUCGUAGGUAGCUAGCUACUCUGCUUCUGCAAGGCAAUAGUUAGCUUUCUUACCCAUGGUUCUGCUGGCAUGGUUGCCGCAACUC